UACGUAGGGUGCGAGCGUUAAUCGGAAUUACUGGGCGUAAAGCGUGUGCAGGCGGUUUGUUAAGACAGGUGUGAAAUCCCCGGGCUUAACCUGGGAAUUGCGCUCGAAACUACGGAGCUGGAGUGUGGCAGAGGGAGGUGGAAUUCCACGUGUAGCGGUGAAAUGCGUAGAGAUGUGGAGGAACACCAAUGGCGAAGGCAGCCUCCUGGGCCAACACUGACACUCAUGCACGAAAGCGUGGGGAGCAAACAGG
rnacentral:rRNA from 1 species